UGCAAGUCGAACGAUGAUGCCCAGCUUGCUGGGCGGAUUAGUGGCGAACGGGUGAGUAAUACGUGAGUAACCUGCCCUUGACUCUGGGAUAAGCCUGGGAAACUGGGUCUAAUACUGGAUACUACCUCUUACCGCAUGGUGGGUGGUGGAAAGGGUUUUACUGGUUUUGGAUGGGCUCACGGCCUAUCAGCUUGUUGGUGGGGUAAUGGCUCACCAAGGCGACGACGGGUAGCCGGCCUGAGAGGGUGACCGGCCACACUGGGACUGAGACACGGCCCAGACUCCUACGGGAGGCAGCAGUGGGGAAUAUUGCACAAUGGGCGGAAGCCUGAUGCAGCGACGCCGCGUGAGGGAUGACGGCCUUCGGGUUGUAAACCUCUUUCAGUAGGGAAGAAGCGAGAGUGACGGUACCUGCAGAAGAAGCGCCGGCUAACUACGUGCCAGCAGCCGCGGUAAUACGUAGGGCGCAAGCGUUGUCCGGAAUUAUUGGGCGUAAAGAGCUCGUAGGCGGUUUGUCGCGUCUGCUGUGAAAGCCCGGGGCUCAACCCCGGGUCUGCAGUGGGUACGGGCAGACUAGAGUGCAGUAGGGGAGACUGGAAUUCCUGGUGUAGCGGUGAAAUGCGCAGAUAUCAGGAGGAACACCGAUGGCGAAGGCAGGUCUCUGGGCUGUUACUGACGCUGAGGAGCGAAAGCAUGGGGAGCGAACAGGAUUAGAUACCCUGGUAGUCCAUGCCGUAAACGUUGGGCACUAGGUGUGGGGGACAUUCCACGUUUUCCGCGCCGUAGCUAACGCAUUAAGUGCCCCGCCUGGGGAGUACGGCCGCAAGGCUAAAACUCAAAGGAAUUGACGGGGGCCCGCACAAGCGGCGGAGCAUGCGGAUUAAUUCGAUGCAACGCGAAGAACCUUACCAAGGCUUGACAUUCACCGGACCGCCNCAGAGAUGGGGUUUCCCUUCGGGGCUGGUGGACAGGUGGUGCAUGGUUGUCGUCAGCUCGUGUCGUGAGAUGUUGGGUUAAGUCCCGCAACGAGCGCAACCCUCGUUCUAUGUUGCCAGCACGUGAUGGUGGGGACUCAUAGGAGACUGCCGGGGUCAACUCGGAGGAAGGUGGGGAUGACGUCAAAUCAUCAUGCCCCUUAUGUCUUGGGCUUCACGCAUGCUACAAUGGCCGGUACAAAGGGUUGCGAUACUGUGAGGUGGAGCUAAUCCCAAAAAGCCGGUCUCAGUUCGGAUUGAGGUCUGCAACUCGACCUCAUGAAGUCGGAGUCGCUAGUAAUCGCAGAUCAGCAACGCUGCGGUGAAUACGUUCCCGGGCCUUGUACACACCGCCCGUCAAGUCACGAAAGUUGGUAACACCCGAAGCCGGUGGCCUAACCCCUUGUGGGAGGGAG
rnacentral:rRNA from 1 species